GACGUAGGAUGCAAACGUUAUCCGGAAUUACUGGGCGUAAAGAGUUUGUAGGCGUUUUGUUAAGUAGAAUAUUAAAGACUCGAGCUUAACUCGGGGAAGGUAUUCUAGACUGGCAGAAUAGAGUGAUGCAGAGGCAAGUGGAAUUCUGUGUGUAGGGGUAAUAUCCGUAGAUAUACAGAGGAACACCAAAAGCGAAGGCAGCUUGCUGGGCAUUUACUGACGCUCAAGAACGAAAGCGUGGGGAGCAAACAGG
rnacentral:misc_RNA from 1 species